GCAUGACCAAUGCAAAUAACAACUUACUGACUUAAAUUGAAAUAAAGCAAGCUAUUGGGAUAAGGAUGCAAAAGUAGACACAAAAAGAAAAAUAUAAAAAGAAAAUAUAAGCUACUGGGGCCUCAAAAAGCAUAGAGGUGUGACAGAAGCGUGAACAUUCUGAAAUGCUUGAACAACCUGAUAUCCCAGCAAAAUUCUGGCUUCUCUGAACAAGAUUACAGAGAGGAACUGACUCAACAUCAUCAAAAGAAGAGGGGAUUUAGGUUCACAGGAACACUGAGGUGAAAGUGCAGAGAUUCCUUGGUGCCCACAGGCCUAGCCUCCCUCAUCGUCAACAUCCCACACCAGACUGGAACAUUCGUUACAACUGAUGAGUCUGCACUGACAUAUCAUUAUCACCCUCCGUCCGUAAUUCACAUUAGGUAAACACACCAGGUGUUGUAAGUUCAGUGGGUUUCGACAAAUGUAUAAUGAUAUGAAUUUACCUUAAAAUAUCAUAUAUUAAAUCCUCUGUGCUCUACCUAUUCAUCUCUC